CGUGGAUAGGUUUUGUGGAGCUGCACCUGUUUAUGUCAGCAGCAAAUUUAGUUUUACGUGCCAUGGGAUGCUCACCUGGCAUCCAGUUGCUUCAGCUUGGAGAAAUUUUUUGCAAAUCCUGUAUAUCCCUGCAUACUGGUACUAGAGAGGUGUGCUGAAGCAAGCUCUCCAAUUUCCAAUGCGUGGAGGCUCUUGCAGCCCCAACUUUUCAGCUUCUGAUCCAGCCCUGGCAAUCAGAUCAGCAGAGGCAUGGAAUAUUUGUCACCCACUUUUCUGCAGAUGGGAAGUGAUGCAUAGAGAUGAAAUGAUUUAUUGUUUCACACUCUGUCAGAGCAAGUACUUGUGCUCACCAUUCCUAAGGUCUAGCUCUACAAAGUGGAUGUGCAGAAAUACCAUCAAAAAGAUUGGAUGGAGGUCCUUAAUUUGAUUGUGAUUUCUUCUUGCAAAAAAGAUUGAAGGCAGUGCUGCAAAAAUAUGUUUCUUAAACUCUUUCCUGCAUGUUCAAAGGAAUAAGAUCCUCCUACAAUGAAAAGCAAUUCAAAAGACAAGCAGUUCAAAAACACAGCCCCAUGUAACUCAACUUGAACAAGCAAAGUCCAAUCAUUCUACGUUUAGGACUCAAAAUCGUCUGGUGAACUGUCCGACAAUGCCUUCAAGAAAGCUAGAUUCAUCUCACUGUGAGAUGCUUAGUAACACAUACUGACGAAGUUAGGAACCUAGUGUCCUCUGUAUACCAGCUGCAUCAAGGAUUAUAAUUUCAAAUUUAUUGUGCAGUAAGUUUUGAGGCCAUUUUUUCUGUCUAUUUUUCUUUCUUUUAUUUUUUCUAUUUUUCUUUUUUUUUAUCUUAGUUAAGAUAAAAGGUUGAAAGAUCCUCUGUUUCUUAGUUUCACCAUUGAAGAACAUUGCUACUGUUGUGCAUAGCAAACUGGAGACCACUGAAGGACUGCAGGAGAAAGCUUGUUUCUGCAGGAGAAAGCUUGUUUGUUCUCCAUAAUAGUUGUAAGACACAUCUUUAUGCAGGUAGACAGCUAUCACAUAGAGUUAGUAUUCCUGAUAAAUGAAUAGAUAAAUGAGACACAGCUUAUAUGAUAGAAGAGGGAUCUUAAAUACCCCUCUUAAAGAGUGAGGUGAACAAUUGGAAAAAAGAGAUGAAUGAAAUACUUGUUAUCCCUUGAUAUUCAUUAUAUAUUUUCAAAAUAUAUUCUGCAGAUGCUGUUAUAUACUCUUUGUACUUUGUCAUCCCACUUACUCCAAGGAACCAAAUACAAGUUAUUAAGUCUAAUCACCAUUUCCCGGCCUUUCAAGUCAACAGACUCCCUGAGAUGUAAGUGGAGAGAAACAGGUGUGAAGUAGAUGUCUCAAAGAGGCCAGGUGAAUUGCACAUGGAAAAUCACUGGUUCUUCUGGCUAUGGGAUUGCCUCAGUUCUUGACAUCUAAAAUUGUGUGAUGAAUCCCAUAUUUUUUUAUUUUUAUUUUUAUUUUUUUUAUUUUUUUACCUGAGGGUGCCUACCAUAGUUAAACUUUGACUGCAGUAGUGCAAGGUACUGAAGGCAAUUAUUCUCUCUGCAGUACUUCCACAUGACCUGUCACCUUUCUCCUUUCUGCCAUUAGGACCUCAUAGUAGUGAAUGUGUUGCUCCUCAUACAAUAUCUGUGAGGUUGGGAAGCACUGUCAUCCCUAUAACACUACUGGAGACUUGAAGCAUGAGCUGAUUGGCAAUAUGUCCAAGAUUAUAGUGGAAAUCAGCAGGAGGACAGCAGGGAAUUGAGAGCCAGGAUAGCAUCUGGACAAGGACAUAAUUUAUUCUGCUCUUUGUAAGUCAACUAAACAGGAAACUUGAGAAAAUUUGGGAUAGGUAGGAGUUUUAUGGACUAUGCAGAAGUAACGAGCCCUUAGAAGAAGGAAAAAAUAAGAUGUCCUUUACACUGGGUUCAAGAUUUUCUGGUUUUGGCUGAGUACCAAGUCCUAAUUUUCCUUGUCUCAAGGAGCUGGUUGAAUCAACAUGACCUUAGAAAUCCUUAUAGAAAUAUAGAGAAAAUAUGUUUCAGUUUUAUGGCCCCCCAUUUGACUCUAUACUCUCUCUUUCUUCAAUUUUUUACAUACAAAUUUUUCUUCUUCUUGUUGGAACAGUAAUCAGUCAUCCUUCAGAAAGUCUGUAGGCUCUCAGAACAGAAACAGAGCACAUUAUUUGAGCAAAGAUGGAAGAGAAGAGCCUAGAGGAGCAGGAGAAAAAUAUGAGAUGAGGUGAUGGAUUUAUGGGAACUGAUUGAGAGAUCUGAACAGGCCAUCUAUUUGGCAGCAGUGUUUGGUGGGCCUGCAGAAGGGUGACAUGGAUAUCAGGAGGGAGAGGAAGGCUAUAAUCGAAAGGAGAGAUGAAUGCACUGCAGAACUUAAACUACCCACUGAGGACAGCCUCUCAGAAAUACCAAGAAAUACAGUGUACUUUUGUACAGAGGAUUUAAUUGAAAUAACCUCUAAGCCCAUGUUGAGAAGGCAGUAUUAAUUGGCUCUGCCAAGCUUAAAUGUUGAACAGCAAUUUAUAUUUCAUGCACUGACUCUCAUAUGGGCCAAGAACCAAAGAAAACAGGCUUUCCUGUGGCUAGGGAUGAAGAUGGUGCCUUUUCUCUCUACAUCAGAUAUUACAUAUCCCAGAGCUAUUUCCUUACAUUUGAAAAGACUUUAUUUGUGGCUCAGUUCAGACUGACAGACUCCAGGCAAACAGCAUCAAACAGUCCCCAUAAAGUUUAUUCUGAGAAAGUGAGUGAUUCCAUUUCAGAAUGGUUUGGCUGGUGCUUUUAUUGUUGUCAGCCCAGGAUAAUAAUUAUAAAUAUCAUAAUAAACGGAUUGAAUUUUCAUCAUUGCCAAUCGUUUUUUGUUCACACAAAAUGGCUCUGAGGAUGAAUGACUUCAUCCGGUACAUCCUGAACCAUUUCUUCAACCUAGGCUGAAUUCAGCACAGUCCUUUUCAUCUCCACGUGGAAGUCAACCCUUUGGUCUUUCCCAGCCUCAGGUUAUACUCAUUUGCUUUAAGUGGUCAGCAAACUCAUCGAAAAUCUAUGCUCAGCUGCUCCCUGCUGUUUAAUGGGCUGAUUCAACAUCAGAGGGAGAGAGAGGUCUCCUGCAUUUUCCUCAAUUUUAUCCUUCAUGCUCCUGAUUCACUCAUUCAACUAUGCCAGUGAUAGGAACUGUGGGACUCCACAUAUAUAGAUGCAAUCCCAGCAGACACUGAUAUUUGAAGCACUGUGUUCUAUAGACCUGCUUUGAGCAAGGCUUUUGAAACCUCAGUCUCCCACAGCAAGAAGUCUCAGAGGCCUUUGCUGGUGCGUUUCCAAAGCAGAUGCCUGUUGAACAAGGAAUUGCAGCAGGGAAUGCCUGUUUGCUUCUCUCAGCUACUGAGGAAGAAAGAGGCUGACUCGUCUUACCUGAAAUGUGAAGCCUACCCUGGGAGCCUCAAUGAGAAAGGAUAUCUCACACCUCCUCUCACACCUUAUGGAAUAAUAUUGAGUAGAAAUGGCUUAAAGAUUCUGUAGAAGCAUGUGAGGAGGGGAAAAAGUAAUGAGCACUCAUAUGCUCCCUGAAGAAAGAUUGUACCCAUGUUUGUUGGGGUUGGGAGGACCGUGGUUAUCUGAGUGUGAAAGUGGUGAGGAGAGUGCUGGUAUCCAUAGUCCAAAGAUGUUUUUCCAGUAGCCUAACUGGGGUGUCAGGUACCCUGAAUUCACGGGAAAGGAAACAUUCUUCAUCUUAUGCUAGUAUGCUUCUGCCAUAAUUAACCUAUUUAUUUAUUUAUUUAUAAAUUAACUUAAAAACAUACAGAAGAAAAUACACAAGAUCUCUGUGACUCUCAGCCUCUCUCUGUCUCUCUUUAUCUAUCUAUUUAUUUAUUUAUUUAUUUUAUUUAUUCAUUUAUAGGGAAGAGGAAGAGACUAUUAAUUCAUUCUUUUAAAAUACUUGGAGUUGACAGUACUGUGACUGGGUUCUCUUGCCUUUUCUUUGGAUACUGCUGUGUGUCAGUGGGAUUAGCAAUGCAGUCUUUGGAACAGUGGUGUUCUCUGAAACACUUUCAGUUGGUACAGCUGGCUUAUUUUUCUCCUGGGUCUAAUUUCUUUUGAGGUUUUGGUUGUCUCUGGUUUUGGAAAGUCAGACUGUGAUUCCAGGAAAACUCUGAUUUUCAGUAAUUUUCAAGAGAGCAGGCUUAAUCAGGUUUGGUAUUGCUCCAUUCUGACACAUACGUAUGUGAGUACACAUCUGCAGCACUGACUUCAGAAUGCUUCCCAAACUGCUCGCUGUGUCUGCAAACCCUACAAAUGGUGCUCCCUGUGAAUUUUUUUAUCCAAUUUGUAUAAAAAUAAAUGAUAGUUAUUCCAAAUA